UGGGGAAUUUUGGACAAUGGGCGAAAGCCUGAUCCAACAAUGCCGCGUGUGUGAAGAAGGCCUUCGGGUUGUAAAGCACUUUUGUCCGGAAAGAAAUCCUUGGCUCUAAUACAGUCGGGGGAUGACGGUACCGGAAGAAUAAGCACCGGCUAACUACGUGCCAGCAGCCGCGGUAAUACGUAGGGUGCAAGCGUUAAUCGGAAUUACUGGGCGUAAAGCGUGCGCAGGCGGUUUGCUAAGACCGAUGUGAAAUCCCCGGGCUCAACCUGGGAACUGCAUUGGUGACUGGCAGGCUAGAGUAUGGCAGAGGGGGGUAGAAUUCCACGUGUAGCAGUGAAAUGCGUAGAGAUGUGGAGGAAUACCGAUGGCGAAGGCAGCCCCCUGGGCCAAUACUGACGCUCAUGCACGAAAGCGUGGGGAGCAAACAGGAUUAGAUACCCUGGUAGUCCACGCCCUAAACGAUGUCAACUAGUUGUUGGGGAUUCAUUUCCUUAGUAACGUAGCUAACGCGUGAAGUUGACCGCCUGGGGAGUACGGUCGCAAGAUUAAAACUCAAAUGAAUUG
rnacentral:rRNA from 1 species